rnacentral:rRNA from 1 species
GGUAAAAAAGCUCGUAGUUGGAUUUCUGUUGAGGACGACCGGUCCAUACCACGUAUGCGUAUCUGGCUCGGCCUCGGCAUCCUCUCGUUAAACGUUUCUGCGCUUGAUUGCGUGGGGCGGUUUACGGGACUUUUACUUUGAGGAAAUUAGAGUGUUCACGGCAGGCAAUCGCCAGAAUACAUUAGCAUGGAAUAAUACUAUAGGAUCUUGGUUCUAUUUUGUUGGUUUCUAGAAUUGAGAUAAUGAUUAAUAGGGACAAUUGGGGGCAUUCGUAUCAACACGUCAGAGGUGGAAUUCUUGGAUUGUGUUGCGACGAACUACUGCGAAAGCAUUUGCCAAGGAUGUUUUCAUUGAUCAAGAACGAAAGUAAGGGGAUCGAAGACGAUUAGAUACCGUCGUAGUCUUUACCAUAAACUAUGCCAACUAGAGAUGGGGCAUCGUUCACUUACGACUUGCUCCGCACCUUAUGAGAUAUCAAAGUCUUUGGGUUCCGGGGGGAGUAUGGUCGCAAGGCUGAAACUUAAAGGAAUUGACGGAAGGGCACCACCAGGAGUGGAGCCUGCGGCUUAAUUUGACUCAACACGGGGAAACUCACCAGGUCCAGACAUAAUAAGGAUUGACAGAUUGAUAGCUCUUUCUUGAUUUUAUGGGUGGUGGUGCAUGGCCGUUCUUAGUUCGUGGAGUGAUUUGUCUGCUUAAUUGCGUUGAC